GUGCUUGUUUUAGCAGUACAGAUAUUAAAGUUGGAAUGAAACAGAGAAGAUUAGCAUGACCCCUGCACAAGAAUGACAUGAAAAUUUGUGAAGUGGUCCAUAUUUUU